rnacentral:lncRNA from 1 species
GUGGAUCUCUGAAUUCAAGGCCAGCCAAGGACAACAUAGUGAGACCCUGUCUCCAAAAACAUUAUUAUAUUUAUUUCUUUUGUGGGGAAGCACAUGCAUGAUGCAGAACGUGUGUGGAAACCAGAGGACAACCAGAGUUGUUUUUCUCUUUCCAUUGUGUGGGUCCUAGGGAACAAACAGAUCAGCCUUAGCAGUUAGCAUUUUUACCUUCUGACACAUCUUCCAACUCUCCAAAACCAAUUUUUAAUGACUAUGUUGUUAAGAUCUCUAGAUGUCCUUUCUUGGUUUGUGUGUACAGGGGCAGAUUUAUUGGCACCAUCUCAGAUAUCCACCACUGGGAUUACAGCACUGACUUAUCAUGAUUGUGAUGGGGUUCUGACUCAGGUCCUCAGGUAAGAUCUCACCGUGUAACCAGGACUGGCCCUAAGCUCUCACAUUUGCCUGCCUCCGUCUCCUGAGUGCGGGCUAAAAAUGGGCAACACCGUGACUGGCUCCUCUUCAGUUUGGCAGCUUUGUUACCCUAAGAUUCAGUCCCCCUUGAAGUAGCAGCUAUGGGGAGGGCUACCAGUUACUUACAGAAGGACUUCAUGCAGGUUCUCCAAAGACAUCACCAGCAGGUUGUAAACAAUAUUGAUGUUCAGGGGCAUGGGGGAAGGGUGUUUGUUGCCUAUGGGUUCUGUACCAGCAGGUGGGA